rnacentral:rRNA from 1 species
CUCCCCGAAAGCUAUUUAGGUAGCGCCUCGUGAAUUCAUCUCCGGGGGUAGAGCACUGUUUCGGCUAGGGGGCCAUCCCGGCUUACCAACCCGAUGCAAACUGCGAAUACCGGAGAAUGUUAUCACGGGAGACACACGGCGGGUGCUAACGUCCGUCGUGAAGAGGGAAACAACCCAGACCGCCAGCUAAGGUCCCAAAGUCAUGGUUAAGUGGGAAACGAUGUGGGAAGGCCCAGACAGCCAGGAUGUUGGCUUAGAAGCAGCCAUCAUUUAAAGAAAGCGUAAUAGCUCACUGGUCGAGUCGGCCUGCGCGGAAGAUGUAACGGGGCUAAACCAUGCACCGAAGCUGCGGCAGCGACACUGUGUGUUGUUGGGUAGGGGAGCGUUCUGUAAGCCUGUGAAGGUGGCCUGUGAGGGUUGCUGGAGG